UACAGAGGUCUCAAGCGUUGUUCGGAUUUAUUGGGCGUAAAGAGCUCGUAGGCGGCUCAGUAAGUCGGGUGUGAAACCUCCAGGCUCAACCUGGAGACGCCACCUGAUACUGCUGUGGCUAGAGUCCGGUAGGGGAGCGUGGAAUUCCUGGGUGUAGCGGUGAAAUGCGCAGAUAUCAGGAGGAACACCAGCGGCGAAGGCGGCGCUCUGGGCCGGAACUGACGCUGAGGAGCGAAAGCGUGGGGAGCAAACAGG
rnacentral:rRNA from 1 species